GGACUGUGUCCCUUGGACCUGUGAGGGGGAUUUCUUCUCUGGCCUACCACCAUCAGACCCGGGAAAAUUCCUGUCCUGCCUGCUGCUCCUGGACUUUUGGUGAUUAACUAGCCCAGCCCACUGGACAUUCUGAGCAUAUCCUGGAGGUCUUCCUCUUGUGCCUGCUGCAACGCAAUCUCCAGGUAUUUUCUUCUUGGCAGCCUACUUUGCUGACCCUCUGCAUCUUCACAUUACCAAGUGGUCAGCGCUCCGCAGAUGAACCAGUGCACCAACCAUGAAUCAAUCAAAACAGCAAUGAGACUGAAAUGGAACGGUGUUUCUACUAUUUAUUUAGAAGAUUUUUUGAAGAACAGAUGAAACUAGCCCAGAAAAAGAACAACAGAGUGAAGAAAGAGAAGCGUCCCUGUUGAUUGCCACCAUCGUGCAAAGACUGGGAGAAAGGUAUGAGGAAAAAGGCAAAGGCAAAUUUCAAGCAUCUCACCUCUGGCGGGGCUUGGGGAGCACAUUCAUUGGCAGUGAGUGUGAAUAGUCUUCCUGUGGGCUGAGAACUUCCUUUCUCUCCUUCCCCAACCACCC
rnacentral:lncRNA from 1 species